UACGGAGGAUGCGAGCGUUAUCCGGAUUUAUUGGGUUUAAAGGGUGCGCAGGCGGAAUGUCAAGUCAGCGGUAAAAUUUCGGGGCUCAACCCCGUCGUGCCGUUGAAACUGGGAGACUUGAGUGCAGAAGAGGAGAGUGGAACUCCAUGUGUAGCGGUGAAAUGCGUAGAUAUAUGGAAGAACACCAGUGGCGAAAGCGGCUCUCUGGUCUGUAACUGACGCUGAGGUUCGAAAGCGUGGGUAGCAAACAGG
rnacentral:rRNA from 1 species